UCUGUACGCUCAGAUUUAUGACUGUCACACAAGACCAGUUUUUAUCAAGACCUGUUGUAUUCAGCUCAUGUUACAAAUACAAUUAUAUUUAUUAGUAAAACAAAUACUAGCAUAUCAAUGGACAAUGUUUACGUAAAAAACAGCAUAGUAUGUCUAAUUAAACAGUACAGUAUGUAAUGAAUAUUAAUUUCCUCCACACAUCCCACAGCUGGUUGGACAGGAGGAUGGUAUAGUGCUGGUGGAAAGCUAUGGCUGGCAACAACACCUGACUCUGUACUUCAGGCCACUGCCACAGUUCAAGCAGUACCAGCACUUCAGUUGAAUAUCAUUUUCCUUGCAUUGUAUGAGGUUAUUCUUAUUAUCUACACUAGGGAGGUCAAUUGAUGUUAUGCAAGGUUGUAAUGUCUUCGUCUAUUUUCCUGUUUUACAGUGUCAAUGCUCCUUCCUCCCAUAGAUGGUCUGCCUGUACAAGCACCACCUGGACUGGACACAACCUGACAAACGUAUCUUUUUGCGAAGAUCAGGUAGUUUUGCGACGAAGAGCCCAUGGACAUUACAUGGCCUAGACCAAAGUCAUGUGGAAGACAAAAACAGGCUCUCCGAAUAUAGAUUCCCUUAUUCAUCCUCGGUGUGGAAGGACCAGUUGAUCACUUGGAGCAAGUUCGCAGUCAUCCGGACUAUCUGCAGUGCCUCUAUGCACAUGACUAACACACACACACACACACACACACAUUGCUGCUACAAUUUUUUUUCCUGCUGCUCAGCCACUUUACCCCAUAUUGUAUGCAUAUAACUACCUCGUCUAUCACCAGCAUCACUGAUAUUCUUCUUGUGCAUACUAUAUAUUAUUUUGUUCUUUCUCUACUUGCAUUGGCACUUAGUUUUUACCUGAUAUCGUGUGUGUUUACAAAAGACGGUAAUGUGAAGAACAACAUAACCUGCACAAAAGUCAGAUUAGAAUACAGGCCAAGGGCUAGCUAGUGUAUUUCUACCUUAUUGUAGGCUACUACUUUUACCACUUUUAGUCUUGAAAUCUAUGGUUGUUUACUACACUACUCACUGUUUGGCACAUGGCCUCACAUGUGAAUCCUUAAAGAGAUGUGUGGGGCUAAAGCUUAAGAGGGUGUAAACGAUGCUGAAUGGGUGUAUUUGGAACUUCGAACCAUUAACUUUGACACCUAUCACUGUAGGCUAUGUUUAAUCUUACAACUGCUACAUAGAGGCAGUAUUGAGUCAAAUGUUACAUCAAUAUUAAAUUUAUUGGAACACUAAUUUUCAUACAGAUAUUUUUAAAAAGUGGGUACACUUUCAGUUAUUGUGAAAAUGUUCCUUUCAAUGCCGUAGCUCUGAAAUGUAAAAUGUUUAAACAUAUUCAGAUUGAGUUAAUCUUUCUAAAAUGUGUAUAGUUUGCCAAGUUAUUUAGCGACGUGUUUACCACCACUGCAUGGAGAAAGUCAAGACGAAGCAGUGGAGCGAGGUGGACAUGUACCAUGCCACGGAGGACGGCGGGGCAGGGAUGGCUAUCUGCCAGGCUACCAAGGUUAGGCAUCUUUUGUUUUUAGGAGAUUACCACGUGUACGUGAAUUUUUUCAAGGUGCAUGGUGUACCUCGUCAGACCCUGGCGGACUGGCUGAGUGGCCGGGUGACCCAUGGUUGUCGCAGUGGACCACCCAGAUUGCUUGCACCAGAGGAUGAAAAUUCUCUGGUGCAGUACUGCAUCUACUGCGUCAGCCAUGGGUUUCCCUUCACCAGACAGAGGCUGAUGAAAUACAAAAUACGCAGGUAGUUGGUGUUCUAUGUGUUUAUGUAUGUAGAAUGCUGGACUGACUGUUCUCAAUGUGUGUGAUGUAAAAGUUCAAACAGGUGCCAUUAAUACAGGUAACGAGUGGGGGACAGAAGAGCCUCUUAAAGAAGAAGCUACAGAAGACACCACCUGCUGUGCUCACUGCGGGGAGCGUGAUCCACCUACAACUCCCCGCAAGAGUGUAAGUCCGAGGUUCCAUGGGUGUGCUGUGACUUCUGCCAACACUGGUUCCACUGCAGGUGUGUGCUGUGACUUCUGCCAGUACUAGUUCCACUGCAGGUGUGUGCUGUGACUUCUGCCAGUACUAGUUCCACUGCAGGUGUGUGCUGUGACUUCUGCCAGUACUGGUUCCACUGCAGGUGUGUGCUGUGACUUCUGACAGUACUGGUUCCACUGCAGGUGUGUGCUGUGACUUCUGCCAGUACUGGUUCCACUGCAGGUGUGUGCUGUGACUUCUGCCAGUACUGGUUCCACUGCAGGUGUGUGCUGUGACUUCUGCCAGUACUGGUUCCACUGCAGGUGUGUGCUGUGACUUCUGCCAGUACUGGUUCCACUGCAGGUGUGUGCUGUGACUUCUGCCAGUACUGGUUCCACUGCAGGUGUGUGCUGUGACUUCUGCCAGUACUGGUUCCACUGCAGGUGUGUGCUGUGACUUCUGCCAGUACUGGUUCCACUGCAGGUGUGUGCUGUGGGACCUAGAGGUGGAGCUGGAUUUUUGUGAUUUUUGUGACAAUAAAGGGAUGGAGGUCAAGAUGUAAUUGUUUGUUUUCAUAUGAAAUGUCUUUGUUUAAAAAAUACAUGUCUAAAAUAAUAUAUAUUUAUUCAACCCA